AUGUGGAGGAGCCCCUCUCAGACCCCAUCCCCCUGGGUCGCACUGAGAAGCCCGGAUUCAGGCAAAUCGGGUGCCCGUUUGUGGACACGGUGAGUGACAGCAGCCUGGCGGGGCCGUGCUAUCCCCAGCAGCCCCUUCCCUUUCCCCACAGGGCAGCUCAUGGACACCCUGCUCCUUUCUGUGGAGCCCUAUCUGGUCACAGCAGCAGGACCCCAAGGACGCACUGCUGUGAGCUGUUGAAGGGGGACUGUCUGCUCCCAGCCCAGACCCUCCCAGACAGGAGACUCCUUCCUUCCAGGACCUGCCUGUGAGCGCCUGCUGUGGACCAGCCUCUGGGCCAGGUGCACAGACAUGUCCCGGAGGCUCCUGGCACAGGCUCCGCCACCCUCAUUGUCCCAGGAGGAGAGGGGCCCUGCUCAGUGCCCACAGUACAGAAGGGGCGCGGGGCUCUGGAGGAAAGAGCAGGUGGGAGGUUCAGGACCUGGGAGUGUGGCUUCAGGGUCACACCAGGAAGUCAGAGCAGGCGUCACCAAGGACACCAGUGAGAACAGACCAGCAGGAGCUCCCCUUCCAGGCGGGAGGUGACGCUGUGGUUUCCAUUUGCAUGUCCCUGAGGGUCCGCCCUGCUGAGCAUGGCCCUUGUCCCUUCUGGAUGUGCUUCAGAGCAGUGCCUCCCGGGGCCUCCGCCCAUCAUUUGGCCAGUCACAGCAUUCGAGUUUAGUUCCCGGGGUCUGUUUUCCUGCACGUUUUAAAAUAAAAUGAAAAAAUAAUAAUAA